UUCCAGCCCAGCGAUCGUGGAGAAGCCUUCUGGAAUACGGAACUGCUUAGCAUAGAACAAACCAGCUUUCUAUUAUUACACUAAUAUGAUUACAAGGUCUCCAAUAUUACAAUGAAUAACAUCGGCACGGCGACAUUACGCCAUCCUCAGUUGCUCUAUGCAAGCAGUAGAACAACUCGAAGCAGCGGAAUAACUCUAGCAGCGGAACAACGACGAUAGUGGUGAACUCCACUCCGCAGGGACUCUGGCUGGAACGCUUAACCUAGCUCGCAAACAAAGAAUCCACGGCAAACAAACAUGCAAUCCAGCCACGACCUGCAAGCUGGCAUGACAUGCCAGGUCAGUACUUUGAAUGUACUUGCAAGCUCACAAUUAACUAGAAGCAUUCAAGACAAACAACAGCAUGGCAAUUACAAGUUAAUCACGGAUUAUCAUGAGAUCAUCAGGAUAACAUGGCAUGAACAAUAUGAACAUAAUAUCGCUAGGAAAAUAUAUGAUCAUGGCAUGAACAUAUAAAUCAGAUGAUACUAGCAUGCAACAUGAUGACACUACAUGCACCAUUUAUUUUGCUCGGGUUACCUCGUAACCAUCACAUGCAUCACUUACCAACCUCGGACAUCACACGAUCAUCUCAGGAUCAAAUCAAGCUUGGUAUAAACAAUACCGUAGUAAUCAUUAAAUGACCACAAGGAGCUUGAUCUUUACCCAUGAUUCUCACAAAACAUCACGAAUAUCCAACAACUCGGUGUCCUCGAUACCACGGUGAUCAUUCCGGUGAUCACCACCAUGACCAACACUUGGUCUCAAACGGUGAUCUUUCCGGCGAUCACAACCAACUUAUCUCAUCGUCGAACCGGGGUUGUCAUUAAUCAAGUUAUUAUUAAUACUGUUGACUCACGGUGGGACCGACACGAACUAGGCCCUUAUCCGCGGGUGCGGCUAUCGAUAGAUUUAAUAUACACUCUGCAGAGGUAGUACACUGUACCCACACUACGGAACCCAUGGCCUCGCACUCCCAUUCGGGUGGACCAACGGCGUUCUGACAAAACCAAUCUACUACCAUGACACUCUCCCGGCCACUCCGACUCACUCCCCACUGGGCUAGUCCUGGGUGGCCCCGUGUCUACCAAAGACACAACAACCACCGUCGUGGUCCGUCCCAAACAGGGACAAAAGCGCUUAUCAUCCAAACCAGGGGCACACAAGGUUAUGUCCGCCUACCUGAUCAGGGUAAGCACGCCCAUAACCUUCCCUAGUUGGAGGCACCGGCGAGAGGCACGACAAUAG
rnacentral:lncRNA from 1 species